UACGGGAGGCAGCAGUGGGGAAUAUUGCACAAUGGGCGAAAGCCUGAUGCAGCUAUGCCGCGUGUAUGAAGAAGGCCUUAGGGUUGUAAAGUACUUUCAUCGGGGAGGAAAAAACAAAACUAAUAAUUUUAUUUCUUGACGUUACCCGAAAAAGAAGCACCGGCUAACUCCGUGCCAGCAGCCGCGGUAAUACGGAGGGUGCUAGCGUUAAUCAGAAUUACUGGGCGUAAAGAGCACGUAGGUGGUUUUUUUAAGUCAGAUGUGAAAUCCCUGGGCUUAACCUAGGAACUGCAUUUUGAAACUGAAAUACUAGAGUAUCGUAGAGGGAGGUAGAAUUCUAGGUGUAGCGGUGAAAUGCGUAGAUAUCUGGAGGAAUACCUGUGGCGAAAGCGGCCUCCUAAACGAAUACUGACACUGAGGUGCGAAAGCGUGGGGAGCAAACAGGGAUUAGAU
rnacentral:rRNA from 1 species